rnacentral:rRNA from 1 species
UGCCAGCCGCCGCGGUAAUACGGAGGGUGCAAGCGUUAAUCGGAAUUACUGGGCGUAAAGAGCGUGUAGGCGGGUUUGUAAGUCAUAGGUGAAAUUUCGAGGCUCAACCUCGGAGCAGCAAAUGAAACUCCCAGUCUAGAGGAUAGAUGGAGAAAGCGGAAUUCCACAAGUAGCGGUGAAAUGCGUGGAUAUGUGGAAGAACACCGGUGGCGAAGGCGGCUUUCUAAUUUAGACCUGACGCUGAGGCGCGAAAGCGAGGGGAGCAAACAGGAUUAGAUA